AGGAAUAAGCAUCGGCUAACUCCGUGCCAGCAGCCGCGGUAAGACGGAGGAUGCAAGUGUUAUCCGGAAUCACUGGGCGUAAAGCGUCUGUAGGUGGUUUAAUAAGUCAACUGUUAAAUCUUGAGGCCCAACCUCGAAAUCGCAGUCGAAACUAUUAGACUAGAGUAUAGUAGGGGUAAAGGGAAUUUCCAGUGGAGCGGUGAAAUGCGUAGAGAUUGGAAAGAACACCGAUGGCGAAGGCACUUUACUGGGCUAUUACUAACACUCAGAGACGAAAGCUAGGGUAGCAAAUGGGAUUAGAUACCCCAGUAGUCCUAGCCGUAAACAAUGGAUACUAGAUGUUGAACAGAUCGACCUGUGCAGUAUUAAAGCUAACGCGUUAAGUAUCCCGCCUGGGAAGUAUGCUCGCAAGAGUGAAAC
rnacentral:rRNA from 1 species